UACGGAGGGUGCGAGCGUUGUCCGGAAUCACUGGGCGUAAAGGGCGCGUAGGUGGCGCGGGAAGUCAACGGUGAAAGCUCGGGGCUCAACCCCGAGUCGGCCGUCGAUACUCUUGGGCUCGAGCACUGUAGAGGCAGGUGGAAUUCCGGGUGUAGCGGUGGAAUGCGUAGAGAUCCGGAAGAACACCGGUGGCGAAGGCGGCCUGCUGGGCAGUAGCUGACACUGAGGCGCGACAGCGUGGGGAGCAAACAGG
rnacentral:rRNA from 1 species